AAUAUAGUCAUUGUCUUAUUCUCUCAACGUAACUAAAUGAUAAGAUUUAAUCUUUUAUUUAUAAUGGUUAUAUGUCACCAGAAUAUGCAGUGUUUGGAAGAUUUUCAAUAAAAUCCGAUAUUUUUCAGUUUUGGAGUAAUUCUAUUAGAGAUUAUAACUGGCAAGAGGAGCACUAGCUCUCACGAGGAGGUUGCUUCCUUGAGCUUGAUAGGACGAGUUUGGGAGCUAUGGAAACAGGAGAAAGCAUUGGAGAUGGUUGAUCCAGUAGUGCUAAACGAAUCGUAUGAUCCCCAUGAAAUCUUGAGACGUAUGCAGAUUGCACAAUUAUGCGUGCAAGAAGAAGCAAUGGGUAGACCAACUAUAUCCUCAUGUUUGACAGUCAUGUGGCUCUUCCUCCUCCAAAACAACCUGCUUUUAUAUUCAGAGAUUCUUCAGAGAGAGACGGAGAGUGUUCUGUCGAUGAGAUGACAAUUACUGCAACCGUAGCCAGGUAAAAAUCUUUAAUUUUGUCACUGAAAAGAACUUGUCCAUUAGUUUAUCUAAUAUAAUCAUUUUAUAUAUUACUUUU